UUUGAGUAAAAUCUAACAUCUUAAAGUUCAAGGCUCAAGGUUUACUUCUUCCUGUGGACCUUUUUUGUUUUUAUUUUUACACCCAUUUCCCCACAAAAAUGUUAGCUUUCUAGCUAACAUGCUACAGAACAGAUUAGUUUAGUUUAGCACAGCAUGAAUUUUAGCUAACAUGAGCUUAAAAUGGACAUUUCGACUUUAAAUCACAGCAUUUUGUCUGAAGUUGUAAGUAGCUGAUUAUUUUUUUGUAUGCUUUUUAAAGUUCUCAGUGAACAUAUUAACACUAUCUUGCUGCUAGCUGAAGUUCAGUCGGUUAGUUACAGAAGAUGGCGGAUAGUUACAGAAGAUGGCGCUGUCUGUCUUACCUCAGGUACUACGAGCACGCACGUUACUGCUGCCGCUUUUUGAGAGAAGUGUUUUAUGUGACUUGUUAAGAAGUUUUGUCAUCAGAAUGAGCGUUUUAACCGUUUAACAGAGAAGGUUUUCUUAGCAAAAACAUUAAAUCAGCUCUUCACUUUAUUGCUGUGUGCCUCAGUGUUAAUUCUGAGGGGUAUAAUUCAGCAAAACUGUUUUUCAUGAGUUUCCAGUACUAUACACGUACUAAAGAGGAUGAGUCUCAUAAAAAAUACCAAAAAUACCUUUCCACAGUCUUUAUCAGCUCUUGUUUAAAUAUUAACCAUUGAGAUUGAAAGUUUACUGUUUUCUGAUAUGUAUGUCUUUUAUGAAUGAGGUGGACAUUCACCCUACUCCACAGGAUAACCAGACAUUCAAUGGCCUAGAUGGCAGUGGAGUUUUCACAGAGAUGGACUCGUUCCUGGUGUCCACCCCUGUGCGUUCUGUGUGACUACUUUGUGCUCUUUUUGUGAAUAUUCAUAGGUCAGAUGCAUGACAAUUUGUCACAUAAAGAUGUAUUCUGUUUUUGAUAAAUAGUUUGUUCAUAUUGCAGCUCUUACUACGGCCUCUCAAAACUCUCAGGGAGUUAGAGGAUCUGAAUGUGUCGCUGGUCUGAAUUUGGUGUCGCAGGAAGCAGUGUCCCUCGAGCUGGUGCUAACUUCUUCUAAUCUCUAUACUUUAAAAUUAUACUUUUUUUUUUUACCUUUACAACGUUUACAAAUAUCACUGAUACUACUUGAGAUAAAACACCCGUAAUGUUGCGCUGUCGCUUAGUUUUAUUGGUUCUUACAAACAUCCACGACUAGCUUGUAACCCGCUAGCAUCACCUUACCGCUAGCCUUGUUUACAUUUCAAAUUUAUCUCAUUUACCGCUGUUUUUUAAAGCAAAUAUGUCUGUUGUUUCUCCGCUUUUGAGUGCAGAUGAGGACUUGCUCGAGGUGCACAUGGUGCUGCUGGAACUGGAGGAUGUGGAGAAACGGAUCCGUGAGCUACUCGACAAGCAGGCCCAGCUGCUUGAGCGAAGAACCGCGCUAGAAACAUCUUGUGCUUAUGCCUACGCAUCCAAGGUAAGCAUGCAGCGUGGUAUUACCACUCCCAGCCCCUCUACGCCGUGUGUUUCUCUGUGUAGGGACUGUGCACCCAAGACUUUUCCAGCCGAGGUCUCCGUCACACUGCCGUCGACACACCACGGACCUUGGGUGCACCAGCAGCAAAAGGCGAGAGCCAUACCCCACGCGAGGACUUGUUUGAGAUCCCAACCAGGAACCGCUUCACUCCCCUUCGUCAGACCAGACCAAACGCUGUGAUCGUCGGGGACUCCAUUGUGCGAAACGUCCGCAUAGCUUCAACAAAGGGUAUGGUGCACACACAUUGUUUUUCUGGUGCUCGUGUCCUUGAUGUCGCUGCGCAGGUACCCGGGAUCCUGAAGAAGGACGAGCGCAUUGGAGCGUGCAUCAGGCUGCGGCAGACGGAGGUUCUGAAGAGGGACUUCGCCAGCCUGAUCGAAACGGUACGAGGCAGAUCACCCACCAUAAAGAUCGUUGUCUCUGGACCUCUUCCCUCAUACAGACGUGGAGCUGAAAAGUUAAGUAGACUUCUUGCUUUGAAUGACUGGUUAGUUUCUUGGUGUAAUGCAGGGUUUCCCAAACCUUUCCAGAUCAGUGCUCCCCAAAUGGCAUUAACAUUUGAUCGAGGCCCCCCUUCUGCAAGAUGUCUUUAAAACACAUUAAAAAUACAGACUUCUGAAUAUAUCCCCCUUUUUUACGUUGAUGUUUUGUCUGUUUAGCAAUUAGAAAGUUAGGUAUAGCAAAUGUGACUUUAAUAUGUAUUGGUAAAAAUAACAUGUUAUAGUAAUGCAUGCACAUAUAUAUCAUGUAUUUAUUUUUCACACCAAAUUGUUGAGGCCCCCCUGGCGGCCCCCACUUUGAAAACCACUGGUGUAAUGAACAGAAUCUGCUGUUUGUUAAUAACUGGAAUCUGUUCUGGGAGCAUCCUAGGUUGUUUCGUCCUGAUGGCCUGCACCCAGCAGCCUCGGAGCGGAACUGCUGUCAGCCAACAUCUCGAAGGUGCUACACACCAAGUGACUGCCUACCCAUGCUUACUUGAAGACAGUGAGGGGAGCAGCAUUGGAGAGACAGUUUGCUCCAUUCUCCAAAGAAUCUGGGAGAACAGCCUGUGAUGAAUGUUUUCGUUGAAAGGGUCAAAAGAUAUUGCCGAACGAGCCCAUGGACGUGAAUAUACUGUUGCCAGUUGCAGAGAGGCCAUCGGCAGCUACCUAAAAAAUGCCCCAGCCAGGAAAGGUGGCAAGAAACAUAAUGAGUGUUUAUGAUUAAAUCUAGAAUUUAAAUCUACAACUUCUGUGAUUCUUUUUCUUUUAUCAUUCAUACAAAUGUGCCAUUGUGUAACAUUGUUGACUGAUUCAUUAGUUUUUAUAUCCAUUUGAAAAGCAAAAACCUUUCCACUAUGAAUAUAACUGAAAGUGCAUACAUACUCCAAACCUUUUGUGAAUAUUGAUGAUUGAUUUGGAGGUUUCAAAUUAUAAGUGAAUUGUGGUUCACUUUCUUGCGUUCAGGAAUGUGUAGCUAAUGUCUGUAGUUUACUAAUUCCGAAAUUGUUGGUUAAGACUGCAUCAUAUAGUACAUGUAUAUACCAAUGAAAUGAAAUGUCAUAUAUUCAGAUAUAUCCACUGUCUGUUCACAGCAGAGCUAUGUGGGAUCUCCAGUGCAUCCUACAAGAAUUGGGUGUGAGUCCAGUUCAGAUUCAACUUUGAUUAGCAAUACAUGAGUAUAUCUGGCUAUUCACUUUGUCUGCAUUUACUAAAAUUCAUGCAUGUUUAUUAAAAAUAUUCAGAGUUUGUUAAACUAUCAUUGUUGUCUGUCCUUCAUAAGAUUCAUCAUGGGAAUUCCAUAGACCAGAAUCUAACAUCCACAUUAUUGAAGCAUUGUUUAAUUACGGAUUUUUUAAAGCAUGUGGUAUGUUAUAUGCUUUAAUUGUAUCUUGCCACAUAAUGUUGGAAAAUGAGGACUUGUGUACUUUUCAAGAAAUUAUAGGUACAAAAAGGAUUACACAUCUGAUUAGA